rnacentral:rRNA from 1 species
GUGAGGAAUAUUGGUCAAUGGGCGAGAGCCUGAACCAGCCAAGUCGCGUGAAGGAAGAAGGAUCUAUGGUUCGUAAACUUCUUUUGCAGGGGAAUAAAGUGCAGGACGUGUCCUGUUUUGUAUGUACCCUGAGAAUAAGGAUCGGCUAACUCCGUGCCAGCAGCCGCGGUAAUACGGAGGAUCCGAGCGUUAUCCGGAUUUAUUGGGUUUAAAGGGUGCGUAGGUGGUUUGAUAAGUCAGCGGUGAAAGUUUGCAGCUGAACUGUAAAAAUGCCGUUGAAACUGUCGGACUUGAGUGUAAAUGAGGUAGGCGGAAUGCGUGGUGUAGCGGUGAAAUGCAUAGAUAUCACGCAGAACUCCGAUUGCGAAGGCAGCUUACUAAGCUACAACUGACACUGAAGCACGAAAGCGUGGGGAUCAAACAGGAUUAGAUACCCGGGUAGUCC